UGGGGAAUUUUGGACAAUGGGCGAAAGCCUGAUCCAGCAAUGCCGCGUGUGUGAAGAAGGCCUUCGGGUUGUAAAGCACUUUUGUCCGGAAAGAAAUCCUUGGCUCUAAUACAGUCGGGGGAUGACGGUACCGGAAGAAUAAGCACCGGCUAACUACGUGCCAGCAGCCGCGGUAAUACGUAGGGUGCAAGCGUUAAUCGGAAUUACUGGGCGUAAAGCGUGCGCAGGCGGUUUGCUAAGACCGAUGUGAAAUCCCCGGGCUCAACCUGGGAACUGCAUUGGUGACUGGCAGGCUAGAGUAUGGCAGAGGGGGGUAGAAUUCCACGUGUAGCAGUGAAAUGCGUAGAGAUGUGGAGGAAUACCGAUGGCGAAGGCAGCCCCCUGGGCCAAUACUGACGCUCAUGCACGAAAGCGUGGGGAGCAAACAGGAUUAGAUACCCCUGGUAGUCCACGCCCUAAAACGAUGUCAACUAGUUGUUGGGGAUUCAUUUCCUUAGUAACGUAGCUAACGCGUGAAGUUGACCGCCUGGGGAGUACGGUCGCAAGAUUAAAACUCAAAUGAAUUGACGGGGUCAUAGCUGUUUCCU
rnacentral:rRNA from 1 species